CUCCGGGAGGGAUCCGACCCCUCCUCCGGGGCUCUCUAUGGGGCGGUGCGGCCGAAGCGGGUCGGCAGUGCGGGGUCGGAACCGCCGCGAUGUGAGCGCUGCCCCCGAGCCAUGGACCGGCAGAGAGAUCUGGAGGCUCUGCUGGCCGACCUGCGCUCCUUUCUGCUCCUCCCUCGACCGGGAGAGCCUCAGCGCCGCAGCCCGAGCCAAGAAGCAGUCGGUGGGAGAGCUGCUGCAACGGCUGCAGGGCCCCGGCGGCAGCAGAGGAUGCAGAGUACAUGAUGAUGCGCUGCCUCUCGCCCUCCUCGGGGACCCCGCAGGGCCGGGAUGG
rnacentral:lncRNA from 1 species